rnacentral:rRNA from 1 species
CUACGGGAGGCUGCAGUUAGGAAUCAUCUGCAAUGCGCGCAAGCGUGACAGUUUGAGCCAGAGUGCUUUUCAAUUCGAAAAGCUUUUGCCAAAUUUAAAAAGUUUGGCGAAUAAGGACUGGGUAAGACGAGUGCCAGCCGCCGCGGUAAUACUCGCGGUCCAAGUCGCAGCCAUCUUUAUUGGGUCUAAAACAUCCGUAGCUUGCUUGGUAAGUUUCUUGUGAAAUCCUCUGUCUUAAGUAGAGGGCGGGCGAGAAGUACUGCUGAGCUAGAGACAGGAAGACGUAAGAAGUAUGUUUGAAGUAAUGGUAAAAUAUGUUAAUCUCGGACAGACUAACAAGAGCGAAGGCAUCUUACGAGGACUGUUCUGACAGUAAGGGAUGAGAGCUAGGGGCGCAAAACGGAUUAGAUACCCCCGUAGUC